rnacentral:rRNA from 1 species
AAACUUUCAACAACGGAUCUCUUGGUUCUGGCAUCGAUGAAGAACGCAGCGAAAUGCGAUAAGUAAUGUGAAUUGCAGAAUUCAGUGAAUCAUCGAAUCUUUGAACGCACAUUGCGCCCAUUAGUAUUCUAGUGGGCAUGCCUGUUCGAGCGUCAUUUCAACCCUUAAGCCCCUGUUGCUUAGCGUUGGGAGCCUACAGCCUGUGCUGUAGCUCCUUAAAGGUAGUGGCGGAGUCGGUUUACAC